rnacentral:rRNA from 1 species
GACGAACGCUGGCGGCGUGCUUAACACAUGCAAGUCGAACGGAAAGGCCCUGCUUUUGUGGGGUGCUCGAGUGGCGAACGGGUGAGUAACACGUGAGUAACCUGCCCUUGACUUUGGGAUAACUUCAGGAAACUGGGGCUAAUACCGGAUAGGAGCUCCUGCUGCAUGGUGGGGGUUGGAAAGUUUCGGCGGUUGGGGAUGGACUCGCGGCUUAUCAGCUUGUUGGUGGGGUAGUGGCUUACCAAGGCUUUGACGGGUAGCCGGCCUGAGAGGGUGACCGGCCCAAAUGGGACUGGGAUACGGCCCAGACUCCUACGGGAGGCAACAGUGGGGAAUAUUGCACAAUGGGCGGAAGCCUGAUGCAGCGACGCCGCGUGCGGGAUGUGGGCCUUCGGGUUGUGAACCGCUUUCGCCUGUGACGAGACGUGAAUGACGGUAAUGGGUAAAGAAGCACCGGCUAACUACGUG